rnacentral:lncRNA from 1 species
UCGAGAUGGUUUGACCCCUGAUAUGAUCAGGGGUUGGGCUUAAUCAAUUCCUAAUUUGAUUAAGAUUUUAUUGAGCCUAAUUAAGCCUAAUUAAGUUAGAUUUAAAUUAGUCUAAUUGGGCCUAACUUAUUUGGUUCAAUUAGGUUGGUUUAAAUAAUGAAACCACCUUGACCCAUUCUCCCUGCGCCACCUCACUUCCACUGCGCCCAUUUGAAUUCAUGAGAAGGAAGUUCUCAUAAAUUUUUCCUCAUGCAAAGCCCUCCUCAUGCCCU